rnacentral:rRNA from 1 species
UGGAUCCAGACUUUGAUCCUGGCUCAGGACGAACGCUGGCGGCGUGCCUAACACAUGCAAGUCGAACGGAACUUUUUCAGGAGAUUCUUUCGGGAUGAUUUUGGUUAAGUUUAGUGGCGGACGGGUGUGUAACGCGUGAGUAACCUGCCUUUGAGAGGGGAAUAACAAUCUGAAAAGAUUGCUAAUACCGCAUAACAUAUACGAAUCGCAUGGUUUGUAUAUCAAAGAUUUUAUCGCUCAAAGAUGGACUCGCGUCCGAUUAGUUAGUUGGUGAGGUAACGGCUCACCAAGACCGCGAUCGGUAGCCGGACUGAGAGGUUGAACGGCCACAUUGGGACUGAGACACGGCCCAGACUCCUACGGGAGGCAGCAGUGGGGGAUAUUGCGCAAUGGGGGCAACCCUGACGCAGCAACGCCGCGUGAAGGAUGAAGGUUUUCGGAUUGUAAACUUCUUUUAUUAAGGACGAAUAAUGACGGUACUUAAUGAAUAAGCUCCGGCUAACUACGUGCCAGCAGCCGCGGUAAUACGUAGGGAGCAAGCGUUGUCCGGAUUUACUGGGUGUAAAGGGUGCGUAGGCGGCUUUGCAAGUCAGAUGUGAGAUCUAUGGGCUCAACCCAUAAACUGCAUUUGAAACUGUAGAGCUUGAGUGAAGUAGAGGCAGGCGGAAUUCCCCGUGUAGCGGUGAAAUGCGUAGAGAUGGGGAGGAACACCAGUGGCGAAGGCGGCCUGCUGGGCUUUAACUGACGCUGAGGCACGAAAGCGUGGGUAGCAAACAGGAUUAGAUACCCUGGUAGUCCACGCUGUAAACGAUGAUUACUAGGUGUGGGGGGUCUGACCCCUUCCGUGCCGGAGUUAACACAAUAAGUAAUCCACCUGGGGAGUACGGCCGCAAGGUUGCAACUCAAAGGAAUUGACGGA